rnacentral:rRNA from 1 species
UGGGGAAUUUUGCACAAUGGGGGAAACCCUGAUGCAGCGACGCCGCGUGAUUUAGAAGGCCUUCGGGUUGUAAAAAUCUUUUUUACGGGAUGAAAAUGACAGUACCGUAAGAAUAAGGUCCGGCUAAAUACGUGCCAGCAGCCGCGGUAAUACGUAUGGACCGAGCGUUGUCCGGAAUCAUUGGGCGUAAAGGGUACGUAGGCGGCCUAGUAAGUUAGAAGUGAAAUAAUAUAGCUCAACUAUAUAAAGCUUUUAAAACUGCUAGGCUUGAGAGAUGGAAGGGAAAGUGGAAUUCCUAGUGUAGCGGUGAAAUGCGCAGAUCUUAGGAAGAAUACCGGUGGCGAAGGCGACUUUCUGGUCAGCAUCUGACGCUGAGGUACGAAAGCGUGGGUAGCAAACAGG